GAGAGAUAGAAGAUCUGGAGGAGGAGCAGAGAAGCUGGGAAUCUUGGUGGGCUUCGUGGUGCAUUGUGGGUGCCUCAUGGCUGCUCCACUCUUCUAGUUGCCAUUUGACUCUAGAGAAGAGGAUCAGCAAAGACUCUCCUAAGAUUUCCUGGAACAAUCCUCUAUCCCUUCCUGGUUUUCUGUCCAAACACUGGAGAACUGCACCAGAUGACUCUCUGGAUUUUGUCGGGCAUUACGAUAAACAACCCUCUCCUUUAUCUUGAGAUGUGCACACUACUUGGCUAAAGAAACUUGGAAAAGGUGCCCUGGGCCACCCCAACCCAAUGAAAAGUCCAGUGGUCUCAGGAAAAAGGUAAGAUUUGGCCCAGCCCAGCCUUUGGAUGAUCCACUCUUACAUCCUAUCAUCUGUAACCUGAAAGAGAGAGUCCGAGUCCAAUGUAAGUAUAAAUGUAGGGCGAUAAUGGCUUAACCAAGGGAUGAUGAGUGUAUAGGGGCAGGGGAGGAG
rnacentral:lncRNA from 12 species